UGCAGUGAUGUCCCAGAACGAGAUCAGCAAAGAGAAACAAAGAGGAGGUGCAAAAUGGCUGGAGAUGAAGUGAUCCAAAAUGCACAUAUCAAUCUCUGAAAGAGUACCCUCGGGUCAACCAUUUUACCUCCAGUCACCGGAGUUACUCACCAGAGCAGUUGCUGGGGCGGUCAGGCAACAGGACAGCUGCUCUUAAGCUGGAAGUGGGAUGGAGACAAGCAGCAGGGUACCACUGCCAGCAUUUCAUCUCCCUGGGCUCCUUCGACUGUGAAUCCUGCCAUCUUCACACGUGCCAACAUCCUCAAGAAGAGGGGGUUUUGGAAGAACUACAUGAAUCCAUAAUCUAUUUUUCCCCUGUAGAUUUUGCUGGGGUGUCUGUGGUGCACAGAUUCUGAAACCACUUCACAAAAGGAAUUGACAUGUAUAAAGUCCUUCUAAAAGCCACCAGGAAUGACAACAGGAAAUAGAGAGAGGUGGAUGGAGACCCCUUUCUCUAAAUUGACUCUUUUUAUUCCUAAUUAAAUUUGCUGGGACUGGGGGUGUAGCUGAAUGGUAGUUUAUGUUCAGCAUGUGUGAGUCUCUGGCUUCCAUUCCCAGUAUUGUGGAGAGAAAAAAAAAGGUCUGGAACCAACAAGCCACUAUCAAAGCUAAUAGAGUUCGUGCUAAUAUUAGUAAACAGUAGGAUGCUCUUUUCAAAAUAAAAUAUUUAAAAGUUUA